rnacentral:snRNA from 1 species
GUGCUCUCUUUGGCAGCACAUAUACUAAAAUAGGAAGGAUACAGAGAAGAUUAGCAUGGCCCUCGCGCAAGGAUGACACGCAAAUUCUUGAAGCGUUCCAUAUUCAA